AUUGAACGCUGGCGGCAGGCCUAACACAUGCACGUCGAGCGGAGCGGCGGACGGGUGAGUAAUGCCUAGGAAUCUGCCUGGUAGUGGGGGAUAACGUCAGGAAACGGGCGCUAAUACCGCAUACUAACAGAUGAGCCUAGGUCGUCUUAGCUAGUUGGUGGGGUAAAGGCCUUCCCAGGCGACGAGCCGUAACUGGUCUGAGAGGAUGAUCAGUCAAACUGGAACUGAGACACGGUCCAGACUCCUACGUGAGGCAGCAGUGGGGAAUAUUGGGCAUUGGGCGAAAGUCUGCUCCAGCCAUGCCGCGUGUGUGAAGAAGGUCUUCGGAUUGUAAAGCACUUUAAGUUGGGAGGCGUUACCAACAGAAUAAGCACCGGCUAACUUCGUGCCAGCAGCCGCGGUAAUUC
rnacentral:rRNA from 1 species